rnacentral:rRNA from 2 species
UGGGGAAUAUUGCACAAUGGGCGCAAGCCUGAUGCAGCGACGCCGCGUGAGGGAUGACGGCCUUCGGGUUGUAAACCUCUUUCACCAGGGGCGAAUAUGACGGUACCUGGAGAAGAAGCACCGGCCAACUACGUGCCAGCAGCCGCGGUAAUACGUAGGGUGCGAGCGUUGUCCGGAAUUACUGGGCGUAAAGAGCUCGUAGGCGGUUUGUCGCUUCGUUCGUGAAAACCCGAUGCUUAACAGCGGGCGUGCGGGCGAUACGGGCAGACUUGGGUACUACAGGGGAGACUGGAAUUCCUGGUGUAGCGGUGAAAUGCGCAGAUAUCAGGAGGAACACCGGUGGCGAAGGCGGGUCUCUGGGUAGUAACUGACGCUGAGGAGCGAAAGCGUGGGUAGCGAACAGG